ACGAUGCGGGAAAAACUUGCAUAACACUCUCAUUGCGGUCCGCAGUGUUAGAGGCACUUAGUCACUGACUGAUUGCGGUAGCAAUGUUGGAGGCCAGGCCAGGCAAUUCCGUCAAUCUAGAAUAGAUUGCUAUUUUGGGGAUCAAUUUGAGGCUAGCCAAGCACGAGUUCCUUCCCCGCCCCCAAAGCGCACUCAUUCCAGGUCAAUUAGCAGUGAAAUUAUUGUUAUAAUGGAACAUUUUUUUGGCUUUUUCGACGUGUGAGGCAUGGGGAGCAAUGACUAAUUAACCAUGGAUUGCAACAGAUCAUACAAAGCUGCAUAAUGUUCUCGAAUGUGCGGAGGACGCUGCACGGAGCACCCAAGCAUGGCACGAAUUGCCAAUACGCCUUUUCUAAUACAUUGCAUUGCAAAUCGAAUCGUUUCUAACUUCACUGCCCACAAUUUUAAGUUAAUAGUUUACUUUAUACACUUUUUGCACUUCUUUUCUGCGAAAAUACAGCCUACAGUCUAUUUGCGAUGAAAAAAGCAUAGUAACCAGUCUCGUCGUAUUUUUGCAACUUUUACCCAUUUUUCGGCUACUAUUCGACUCACCUUCGACUUUAGACAAUGCAAUCAAAUAAAAAUGAAAUUAAUUGUGAAUUAUUUGACAUUAAACGCUUGGUUUUUUCCGA